CACGUGGUUCCAAGAUUGCAAGAGAAUGGCCUAUGGGAUGGCUAUGAAACAUCGUGUGCCAUCGCCAGUAGCACUGCAGCUCGUGGUGGGCUGCAACAUCAUCGGCAAUGACUGUAGAUGGUUUUUUUUUUAGCCGGUGUGAAUGGGUCUCCAGCAUGAAUGGGUCUCCCAAUGUUCUACAUGAAUAAGGAGGAAGAAAGUCAUGAGAUUGUUGCCCUUUGAUGUAUUUACAAGAAUGCCAUUUAAAGUGUUGCCCUUUGUAUUCAACCAAAUUACAAAUAUGCCAUUUUCCC
rnacentral:misc_RNA from 1 species